ensembl:lncRNA IFNG-AS1 IFNG antisense RNA 1
CUGCAAUUUCAGGUAGCUUUUCUGACUCUUAAAGAGAUCUCAAGUAUACCUUCAGAGAAAUGCCAGCAAAAACUGUAGUCAUUUGGGAAGGAAUAAGCCUGGAAGAAAAAGAUACAACGAACUAGCACAACGAGGAGUUUGAAAAGUUCAUGACAGCUCACAGCUGAUGAUGGUGGCAAUCUUAAGGAUACAGAAAGCUCAUUCCUCAUGCAGGGAAGAAGAAAAUAUUCUAAAGAAGAGAUAAGCAUAUUCCAUGAAAUCAAAAAAGCGUAAAACGCUGGAGGAGAAGUCAGUAGCAAGCAGCUAAGACAACAUGGUACAUGUGGCUAGAAGCCCACCAACUGCUAACAACCAGCUGGAGGGUAAGUCAAAAGCUAUGAGAGCCCAGAAGGAGAACAAUUAUUUAGACCUGGAGGGGCCAGUUGGGAAAGUCUUUGAAGGGUCUUCAGAAAAUGGACCAAAAGAAAAGAGGAAAAGUCAUUCUACUGAGAGGUGUUUGUGUAAUCAAAGCAACCGAGGCCUAAGAACUCACAAAAGAUUAGAAAAGGGUAAAGGAUGCCUGGAAAGCCGGACUAGGAAAAGGCUGUGAAGGGCCCUGAAGGUCACAUGUCACAUGUUGCCUGCAGCAUGCAGAAUCAAAACAUGAUAAAUCAUGUCUUGAAUCAUGACAUAUGAAGCAUGACACACGAAUCAUGACAUGUGACAUGUUGAAUGUCACAUGUCACAUGCCGUAGGCAGCCAUCAAGAGUAUUUGAAAGGAAAGUGUAUAAUCAGGCCUGUGCUUUAGUAAGACAAUUUGUAUAGUGUUCAGUGUGGAUUAAAAUGGAGAACACAGGUAUCAGUUUGACAUCGACAGUACAGGAAACCAUUUGGGUUUCUUGUACACCAAAAUAUUAAAACAUACACGCAAACACACCAACACAUUAAAAUCUUGAGAGAGAGGGCCAAAAGUUCUUUGUCGCUGGACUAAAAGUGGAAAUAAAUGUUUACAACCUCUAAGGUGGAUUAAGCUAAGAAUUUGGAGUUGUUGGCAAAACUGCCACAUAAAAUUUCAGACAUGCAAAGAAAUGCAAUCGUAGACUUAUGCACAUACUUCCACCAGAGAAGGGAAUCUGGGCAGAGUGUUCAAAGCUUAAGAAAUUCCUUUGCUCUUCACCAAGAAGAGCCAACAGAGUUUUCGUUGAAUCAACUCUUAUAUUCCCUUAAAAAGAAGUUGAUAGUGUUGUGGAAAACUCACCCAUUGAAGUGACAACAAAAACAGCAACCCAGUAUGAGUUAACUGGUAUUAUGUUAAAGGGACAAGUAACUGCACUUUUGACACACAUCCUCUAAAAGGUAGGGUGGGAGUGUUUCAAAGAACCAAGUCUGAGUAAUAGAAAAGCAUAUACCACUUCCCCAUAUACACGUUCGAGCAUGGGGGAGCAGGAAGCUGGGUAAUUGAAUGCAGUUGUGCACACUGGCAAUUUUCCCGCCACAUACCAUUUCUUCGGUGUCUCUCCCAAAAUUCUCCUCCUAAGUGGCACAUCCCUUUAUUGAUCAUCUUUCCCCAUACUGAUCAUCCUCAGCAAUCAUGUGAGUUAUUAGUCUAAGUAUUUGUUUUUCUCAAAUAUGGUCUUUUAACUACUCCCUAAAUAUUUUAUAUAUACAUAGUUUGUUUUCCCAAUUUAACUACAAGCAUUUAAAAAAUGGGAAUAUUUGUCUAUAUUUCUGUAAUUUUUCAUCAUGCCUUAUAUGGUAUAUAAAGAUCAACAGCAAUAAAACAACAACAGUAAUAAUAGCUAAGACCUUUUG